UGCAGCGACGCCGCGUGAGGGAUGACGGCCUUCGGGUUGUAAACCUCUUUCGACAGGGACGAAGCGCAAGUGACGGUACCUGUAGAAGAAGCACCGGCCAACUACGUGCCAGCAGCCGCGGUAAUACGUAGGGUGCGAGCGUUGUCCGGAAUUACUGGGCGUAAAGAGCUUGUAGGCGGUUUGUCGCGUCUUCUGUGAAAACUCACAGCUCAACUGUGAGCUUGCAGGGGAUACGGGCAGACUAGAGUACUUCAGGGGAGACUGGAAUUCCUGGUGUAGCGGUGAAAUGCGCAGAUAUCAGGAGGAACACCGGUGGCGAAGGCGGGUCUCUGGGAAGUAACUGACGCUGAGAAGCGAAAGCGUGGGUAGCGAACAGGAUUAGAUACCCUGGUAGUCCACGCCGUAAACGGUGGGUACUAGGUGUGGGUUUCCUUCCACGGGAUCCGUGCCGUAGCUAACGCAUUAAGUACCCCGCCUGGGGAGUACGGCCGCAAGGCUAAAACUCAAAGGAAUUGACGGGGGCCCGCACAAGCGGCGGAGCAUGUGGAUUAAUUCGAUGCAACGCGAAGAACCUUACCUGGGUUUGACAUACACCGGAAACCUGCAGAGAUGUAGGCCCCCUUGUGGUCG
rnacentral:rRNA from 1 species